GUUGUGAGGUUAAGCAAUAAGCAUUACACAGUGGAUGAUCGGCAGUCAGAGGCGAUGCUGAAGGACGUGCUAAUCUGCGAUAAGAGCGUCAGUAGGAGUGAUAUGAACCAUUCCCGCAGCGGCGAUUUCCAGCGAAUGAGAAACCCAGUGUGUUUUCUGACAUACACUAUCUCAUUAACUAGAUCCAUAAGUUAUUAACAGGGCAGACCAGAACUAGAACAUCUAAAUUACCCCGAGGAAGAAGAAAUCAAUAGAGAUUCCCCAGGCGGCGAGCAGACUGGGAACAAUAUUGAAGCCUGAAUCAGUAUGUGUAUUGAGUAGGAAAAUCCUGGAAGGCCCGCGCAUUACAGGAGUGACAGCCCGUACACAAAAUGCAUAUUGUGAGCCUCGAUGAGUAGAGACAGGACACAUGGUAUCAUAUCACAGAUAUGGGGACCACUUCCUCCCAAAACUAAAUGCUCCUGGCCAAUGAUAGUAGACCAGUACCCGUGAGAGCCGAAAAGACCUGUAGCGAGGGGUGAAAGAACCUGGGAAGAGCAAAGUAGCCGCAGUUAGGAGCACGCUUGAAGUAUGACUGCGUACCUUUGUAUAAUGGGUCAGCGGCUUAUAUUCUGGCAGGUUGUGAAAAGCCAGAUAGGGGAGCCAGAGAGAGCCAGCGAGUCUGCUGGGCGUUAAGUUGCAGGGAGUAUAGACUGAAACCCAGUGAUCUAAUAUGGGCAGGUUAAGAGGAUUUGAGUAGCACACUACUAACUGGGAGGAUGAACCAUUGCGAAAAAUUAGCGGAUGACUUGUGGCUGGGGUGAAAGGCCAAUCAAACCAGGAGAUAGCUGGUUCUCCCCAAGCUAUUUAGAGUGGCGCCUCGUAGAUUCAUCUCCGGGGAGUAGAGCACCAACCAGCAGGAGGUCAUCCCGACUUACCAACCUGAUGCAAACUGCAGAUACCGGAGAUAUCACGGGAGGACGCACAUGGGUGCUAACGUCCAUCGUGAAGAGGGGAAACAACCCAGAGCCGCCAGCUAAGGUCCCAAAGUCAUGGUUAAGUGGGAAACGAUGUGGGAGGAAUUAUUAUACGUAGGAUAAACGAAAGCGAAGCAGCCAUCAUUUAAAGAAAGCCCGUAAGCUCACUGGUCAGUCGGCCGCGGAAGAUGUAACGGGGCUAGAAACCAUUACACCGAAGCUGCGGCAACGACACUAUAAUAUGUGUUGUUGGGAGUAGGGGGCGUUCUAUGGCCUGUGAAGGUGUGUGCUGUGAGGGGCAUGCUGGAGGUAUCAAGAGUGCGAAUGCUGACGCUAAGUAACGAUAAAGCGGGUGAAAACCCGCUCGCGCCAGGCAAGGGUUCCUGUCCAGCGUUAAUCGGGGCGGAAGGUCGACCAGGCGAAGACCGAAGCGUAGUCGAUGGGAAACAGGUUAAUAUUUCUGCGCGGGUAUUUACACUGCGAGGGGAACGAGAGGCUAUGUUGGCCGGGCGACGAUUUGUCCCAGUUUAAGCGUACGGUUUCGGGCAGUCCGGAAAAUCAGGCUGAGGGCGUGAUGACUGAGGGCACUACGGUGCUGAAGCAACAAACAAAUGCCUGCUUCGGGAAAAGCCUGCACCCUCUAAGCAUCAGGUAACAUCAAAUCGUACCCCAAACCGACACAGGGUGGUCAGGUAGGGGAAUACCAAAGGCCUUGGGGAACUCGGGUGAAGGGAACUUCGGGCAAAAUGGUGCGCUGAAAACUUCCGGGAGGCACGCUGAUAUGUAGGUGGGGAGUCCCUCGCGGAUGGGCAGAAUCAGUCGAAGAUACCAAUGGCACGCAACUGUUUAUUAAAACACAGCGCACAAUACCCGCGAAAUUAGGACGUAUACGGUGUGACGCCUGCCGGUGCCGGAAGGGUUAAUUGAUGGGGUUAGCCGCAGAGGCGAAGCGCUCUUGAUCAGCCCAGUAAGCGGCGGCCAUGCAACUAUAACAGUCCCAGGUAAAAUUCCUUGUCGGGUAGUUCCGACCUGCACGAGAAUGGCAUCAAUGAUGGCGGGGCUGUCUCCACCCGAGACUCAAUUGAAAUUGAACUCGCUGUGAAGAGAUUACGGUGUACCCGCGGCGAGACGAAAUUACGUAGACCUUUACUAUAAGCUUGACGCACUGAACGGUAUUGAGCCUUGAGGUGUGUGGGAUGAUAGGUGGGAGGCUUUUGAAGUGUGGACGCCAGUCUGCAUGCGUCGACAACGAAAUACCACUUGUGUUGAUGUUCUAACGUUGACCCAUGUCCGGGUUGCGGACAGCAGUGUCACAGUGAGUGGAUUUGACACAGGGCCGGUCUCACUCCUAAAAGGAAGCGGAGGCACGAAGGUUGGCUAAUCGAGUCCGGACAUCAGGAGGUUAAUUUUGUGGCAUAAGCCAGCUUGACUGCAGAGAGCGUGACGGCGCGAGCAGGUGCAGCUCGAGAUAUAGCAUGGUAAUCCGGUGGUUCUGAAUGGAAGAGACCAUCGCUCAACGGAUAAAAGGUACUCCGGGAUAACAGGCUGAUACCGCCCAAAGAGUUCCUUAUCGAGCAGCGGUGUUUGGCACUAUCGAUAUCAGCUCUCAUCACAUCCACAGGGAACUGAAAUGGGUCCCAAGGGUAUGGCUAAUUCGCCAUUUAAAGUGGUACGCAGGCGCUGGAGUUUAGAACGUCGUGAACGAGUUCGGUCCCCUAUCUACCGUGGGCGCUGGAGAACUGGGGGGCUGCUCCUGGUACCGAGGGGCCGGAAUUAUGGACGCAUCACUGUAGUGUUCGGGUUGUCAUGCCAGCACCCGGUAGCUAAAUGCGGAAGAUAAGUGCUGAAAACAUCUAAGCGCGAAACUUUGAGAUGAGUUCUCCCUGACUCCUUGAGAGUCCUGAAGGAACGUUGAAGACGACGACGUUGAUAGGCCGGGUGUGUAAGCGCAGCGAUGCGUUGAGCUAACCGGUACUAAUGAACCGUGAGGCUUAACCUUACAACGCCGAAGCUGUU
rnacentral:rRNA from 1 species